AUGAAAGCGGGGGAUCGCAAGACCUCGCGCUUGGAGCGGCUGAUAUCAGAUUAGCUUGUUGGUGAGGUAAAAGCUCACCAAGGCGGCGCUGUAGCUGGUUUGAGAGAACGACCAGCCACACUGGGACUGAGACACGGCCCCAGACUUACGGGAGGCAGCAGUGGGGAAUUUUGGACAAUGGGGCGAAAGCCUGAUCCAGCAAUGGCGUGCAGGAAGAAGGCUCUUCGGGUUGUAAACUGCUUUUGUACGGAACGAAACGGACCCCUAAUACGGCGGGCUAAUGACGGUACCGUAAGAAUAAGCACCGGCUAACUACGUGCGCAGCCGCGGUAAUACGUAGGGUGCGAGCGUUAAUCGGAAUUACUGGGCGUAAAGCGUGCAGGCGGUUAUGUAAGACAGUUGUGAAAUCCCCGGGCUCAACCUGGGAAUUGCAUCUGACUGCAUAGCUAGAGUACGGUAGAGGGGGAUGGAAUUCCGCGUGUAGCAGUGAAAUGUAGAUAUGCGGAGGAACACCGAUGGCGAAGGCAAUCCCCUGGACCUGUACUGACGCUCGCACGAAAGCGUGGGGAGCAAACAGGAUUAGAUACCCUGGUAGUCCACGCCCUAAACGGUCAACUGGUUGUUGGGUGCAUUAGUACUCAGUAACGAAGCUAACGCGUGAAGUGACC
rnacentral:rRNA from 1 species